GUGCCUUUGCUCUUCCUUUGCCUUCUGCCAUGAUGAUGAGGCCUCCCCAGCCAUGCUGAACUAUAAACGAUGAGGAAAAAUUGUUCUUUAUUAAAGAGUUCCAACUAAUAAAUACUGGAGGGCUGAUAGAAUUAGGAAAUAUCCAUUUUGCUAACUGUGAUGAAAUAAUGGAUCCAGGAGGUGAUCAUCAACGGCUGCUAAAACUGUGAAGACUGAUGAGAAACUCUGCAAUGAAGGGAUCAGAUAGACAUCACCAAAACCCACUAAUCAGUACUAAAGUCAGCAAACAUAUACAAUUGGGAAUCCUGGGACUCUAGAUUUGCUAUAUAGGUAGUGUAUUCAAUACCUAUGAGAGAUUCUUAUUACACACAUAAAUACAUCCUUUGGACCUAACUACAUGACAUAAUGAUAAACAACACGACAAAAAAAUCAACAAAUAAAGAAUUUAGGACAAUCUACAGGUCGAAUAAUUCAUCUUGACUUGCAAACAGAUGACAUAAAAAUCUUGGGUGGAAAUAGGAGAAAGGGAACUGUCGUGGAUCACAAGAAUCUUAGGAGACUACCAACCAAAUGCAGUGGAUGAAGCUUAUUGCAUCUCAGUUUAAUCAAACCAACUGUAAAAAUGCAUUUUUGAGCCAAUAAGGUGAAUUUGAGUGUGGCCUAUUU
rnacentral:lncRNA from 10 species